rnacentral:rRNA from 1 species
GACGAACGCUGGCGGCGUGCCUAAUACAUGCAAGUCGAACGCUGAAGGAGGAGCUUGCUCUUCUGGAUGAGUUGCGAACGGGUGAGUAACGCGUAGGUAACCUGCCUGGUAGCGGGGGAUAACUAUUGGAAACGAUAGCUAAUACCGCAUAACAGUAGAUGUUGCAUGACAUUUGCUUAAAAGGUGCAAUUGCACCACUACCAGAUGGACCUGCGUUGUAUUAGCUAGUUGGUGGGGUAACGACUCACCAAGGCGACGAUACAUAGCCGACCUGAGAGGGGGAUCGGCCACACUGGGACUGAGACACGGCCCAGACUCCUACGGGAGGCAGCAGUAGGGAAUCUUCGGCAAUGGACGGAAGUCUGACCGAGCAACGCCGCGUGAGUGAAGAAGGUUUUCGGAUCGUAAAGCUCUGUUGUAAGAGAAGAACGAGUGUGAGAGUGGAAAGUUCACACUGUGACGGUAUCUUACCAGAAAGGGACGGCUAACUACGUG